ACCAUCAUAGCUCAGUAGUAGAAGAGCCUCUGCUUUGCAGGCAGAUGGUCCCAGGUUCGAACCCCAGCAGUCCCAGGUA